GUCGAACGGCAGCGGGUCCUUCGGGAUGCCGGCGAGCGGCGAACGGGUGAGUAAUGUAUCGGAACGUGCCCAGUAGCGGGGGAUAACUACGCGAAAGCGUGGCUAAUACCGCAUACGCCCUUAGGGGGAAAGGCGGGGAUCCUUCGGGACCUGUCACUAUUGGAGCGGCCGAUAUCGGAUUAGCUGGUUGGUGGGGUAAUGGCCUACCAAGGCGACGAUCCGUAGCUGGUUUGAGAGGACGACCAGCCACACUGGGACUGAGACACGGCCCAGACUCCUACGGGAGGCAGCAGUGGGGAAUUUUGGACAAUGGGGGCAACCCUGAUCCAGCCAUCCCGCGUGUGCGAUGAAGGCCUUCGGGUUGUAAAGCACUUUUGGCAGGGAAGAAAUUGCCUGGGUUAAUAGCCUGGGCCGAUGACGGUACCUGCAGAAUAA
rnacentral:rRNA from 1 species